rnacentral:rRNA from 1 species
GUGGGGAAUCUUGCACAAUGGGGGAAACCCUGAUGCAGCGACGCCGCGUGAGUGAUGAAGCCCUUCGGGGUGUAAAGCUCUUUCGACAGGAACGAUUAUGACGGUACCUGGAGAAGAAGCUGCGGCCAACUACGUGCCAGCAGCCGCGGUAAUACGUAGGCAGCAAACGUUGUUCGGAGUUACUGGGCGUAAAGAGUACGUAGGCGGUUUGCCAAGUCUGGUGUGAAAUCUCCUGGCUUAACUGGGAGGGUGCGCCGGAAACUGGUGAGCUCGAGUAUGGGAGAGGGAAGCGGAAUUCCUGGUGUAGCGGUGAAAUGCGUAGAUAUCAGGAGGAACACCUGUGGUGUAGACGGCUUCCUGGACCAUUACUGACGCUGAGGUACGAAAGCGUGGGGAGCAAACAGGAUUAGAUACCCCGGUAGUCC